UACAGAGGUCCCAAGCGUUGUUCGGAUUUACUGGGCGUAAAGGGUGCGUAGGUGGUUGGGUAAGUCUGAUGUGAAAUCUCCGGGCUCAACCCGGAAAUGGCAUUGGAUACUAUCUGACUAGAGGGUUGGAGGGGGGACUGGAAUACUUGGUGUAGCAGUGAAAUGCGUAGAUAUCAAGUGGAACACCAGUGGCGAAGGCGAGUCCCUGGACAACUCCUGACACUGAGGCACGAAAGCUAGGGGAGCAAACAGG
rnacentral:rRNA from 1 species